AGAGUUUGAUCCUGGCUCAGGACGAACGCUGGCGGCGUGCCUAAUACAUGCAAGUCGUACGCUUCUUUUUCCACCGGAGCUUGCUCCACCGGAAAAAGAAGAGUGGCGAACGGGUGAGUAACACGUGGGUAACCUGCCCAUCAGAAGGGGAUAACACUUGGAAACAGGUGCUAAUACCGUAUAACAAUCAAAACCGCAUGGUUUUGAUUUGAAAGGCGCUUUCGGGUGUCGCUGAUGGAUGGACCCGCGGUGCAUUAGCUAGUUGGUGAGGUAACGGCUCACCAAGGCCACGAUGCAUAGCCGACCUGAGAGGGUGAUCGGCCACAUUGGGACUGAGACACGGCCCAAACUCCUACGGGAGGCAGCAGUAGGGAAUCUUCGGCAAUGGACGAAAGUCUGACCGAGCAACGCCGCGUGAGUGAAGAAGGUUUUCGGAUCGUAAAACUCUGUUGUUAGAGAAGAACAAGGAUGAGAGUAACUGUUCAUCCCUUGACGGUAUCUAACCAGAAAGCCACGGCUAACUACGUGCCAGCAGCCGCGGUAAUACGUAGGUGGCAAGCGUUGUCCGGAUUUAUUGGGCGUAAAGCGAGCGCAGGCGGUUUCUUAAGUCUGAUGUGAAAGCCCCCGGCUCAACCGGGGAGGGUCAUUGGAAACUGGUCGACUUGAGUGCAGAAGAGGGAAGUGGAAUUCCAUGUGUAGCGGUGAAAUGCGUAGAGAUAUGGAGGAACACCAGUGGCGAAGGCGGCUUCCUGGUCUGUAACUGACACUGAGGCGCGAAAGCGUGGGGAGCAAACAGGAUUAGAUACCCUGGUAGUCCACGCCGUAAACGAUGAGUGCUAAGUGUUGGAGGGUUUCCGCCCUUCAGUGCUGCAGCUAACGCAUUAAGCACUCCGCCUGGGGAGUACGACCGCAAGGUUGAAACUCAAAGGAAUUGACGGGGGCCCGCACAAGCGGUGGAGCAUGUGGUUUAAUUCGAAGCAACGCGAAGAACCUUACCAGGUCUUGACAUCCUUUGACCACUCUAGAGAUAGAGCUUUCCCUUCGGGGACAAAGUGACAGGUGGUGCAUGGUUGUCGUCAGCUCGUGUCGUGAGAUGUUGGGUUAAGUCCCGCAACGAGCGCAACCCUUAUUGUUAGU
rnacentral:rRNA from 1 species